ACUUUUUUUCUGUUGCAAACCUGAUUACUGGCAUGUCUAUAGAAAUGAUUUUGUAUUGUCUUAUUCUUUUCUGUACUACCCUGUAGUGUAGCUGCUCGGCAUGGGUAUAGCUAGAAAUUCUAUUAUUUUAUUCUAUUCUAUUAUGUAUGUUUCUGUUCAGGGUUAAACCCAGACACUGCUACUGCUGUGGUUAUCACAAUUUAAAAAUCCCAAAUUAGAAUUUGUUUGUUUGGAGAUGAAAUUGAACGUGAACUGCUACACACAAAACUAUGUAAAAACAGUGCAACAUGAAGAAAUUACUGUAACUUAAUAUUUAAUUGUUGUAUGUCUUUCUGCAGUUGUUAUUUUUCACAUCUUGUGAUGCACUUAAACACAUAAUCAGGGAUGUAAGCUGGGGUCAACAGGUGUUUCUGGUCUUUCAGCAUCAGACACAUUCACCCAGGCAACCCAGACAGGGUUGAUAAGGCCCCAGCUUGUGCCCAAGUGGUGUACGUGGUCCACAGGUCACCCCUCAUAUCCACAGCCACCAUGAUGCCUUUUCUGCAGCAUCAGUGAUGUUCCUGAUGGCUCUCUUCUUGUGCAGUCUUAUGAUGCCAAGGAGCUUGAAGGCCCUGCAUAGGGACUGACUGGAAACAUUCCUGCAGGACCACUUGCCUUCGGACAUCAAGACCAUGUCUGGGCUGAAUGUGGUCUCUACGAUGUUGUCUGGGAACUUGAGCUUGCUAGGUCAACCUUCAGCUGCCAUGUGCGGUGACAAGAAGCCCACUGGAUGAUCUUUAAUGGUGCUGCGGCUUCUCCCAUUCCUUGAUAAAGCUAAUUGCCCUCCUUGUUAGGUGCAGUUGUUUGCUGCUGACAAUUUUCCAUAGCCGUGUCUUGGCCUAGCCAAUGGCCUCCACUUCCUCCCAGUCCAGACCUCAAUGCCAACAUUGGAGACUUUGAUGUCAGAGGAGUCUCUACAUAUAGCAGCAUCUCCCUUGCCCAAGUAACCAUGAACUCCUCUGUCAGGCUGCUGAAGGGGAGCUCUAGCUUGUUCUUCUGCUUGUAUAAGGCAAUGCUGCUCAGACCUUGUGGUAGUCCCAGCCACCAUGGUAAGAGGUGGCUGAUCUUCCUUUCAAAGCCCUCGUCAGUGGGACCUUGUAAAACAGCAAUGGCCACAAGAGACCUGGCAGGAUUCCAUGUCGAUAGAGCCAGGCCUUGAGCUUCCCAGCAACCUUGAGCUAUCUACCUCUACCAGCCAUGCCUCCAAUUCCCUGGUCUCCUGGAGUCCAGUUAAGAGCCUAGACAAAGUCUUCCAUAGCACUCUCUAGGACACAGCUGUACGGAAUCCAAAUACCUCCAAGGAAGAAGCAAAACUUCUUUCUCGUCACUUUUCCCCUCCUCAAGACAACUGGCCUGGCCUGGUGGAUCUUCAAGCCAAAUGGGUUUUUGCAAACCUCAUCCACAAACAGCACUGCUAUACUCCACAUAGUCUUUGUACUGUAAGCUUGGGUCGUUGCCUGUAUGUCAAUCGAUUUAUUAUUACUAUAAUUAAGACUAGAUUA